rnacentral:rRNA from 1 species
GGACUACAAGGGUAUCUAAUCCUGUUUGCUCCCCACGCUUUCGCGCCUCAGCGUCAGUUACAGACCAGGUCGCCGCCUUCGCCACCGGUGUUCUUCCCAAUAUCUACGAAUUUCACCUCUACACUGGGAAUUCCACGACCCUCUUCUGCACUCAAGCCAACACGUAUCAAAUGCAGCCCCCAGGUUAAGCCCAGGAAUUUCACAUCUGACUAUGUCAGCCGCCUACGCGCCCUUUACGCCCAGUCAUUCCGAGCAACGCUAGCCCCCUUCGUAUUACCGCGGCUGCUGGCAC